rnacentral:rRNA from 1 species
GUAAUUCCAGCUCCAAUAGCGUAUAUUAAAGUUGUUGCAGUUAAAAAGCUCGUAGUUGAACCUUGGGCCUGGCUGAUCUGUCCUCCUAAUCGAGCGCACGGAUUCGGUCGGGCCUUUCCUUCUGGGGAGCCGCAUGCCCUUCACUGGGCGUGUCGGGGAACCAGGACUUUUACCUUGAAAAAAUUAGAGUGUUCAAAGCAGGCUUAUGCCGUUGAAUAUAUUAGCAUGGAAUAAUGAGAUAGGACCUUGGUACUAUUUUGUUGGUUUGCGCACCGAGGUAAUGAUUAAUAGGGACAGUUGUGGGUAUUCGUAUUCAAUUGUCAGAGGUGAAAUUCUUGGAUUUAUUGAAGACGAACUACUGCGAAAGCAUUUACCAAGGAUGUUUUCAUUAAUCAAGAACGAAAGUUAGGGGAUCGAAGAUGAUUAGAUACCAUCGUAGUCUUAACCAUAAACUAUGCCGACUAGGGAUCGGACGGUGGUUUUUUUAUGCCCCGUUCGGCACCUUACGAGAAAUCAAAGUGUUUGGGCUCGGGGGGGAGUAUGGUCGCAAGGCUGAAACUUAAAGAAAUUG